rnacentral:tRNA from 1 species
UCCCUGGUGGCUCAGUGGUAAAGAAUCUGCCUGCCAGUGCAGGAGACACAGGUUCAAUCCCUGAUUUGGGAG